rnacentral:rRNA from 1 species
UACGGAGGGUGCAAGCGGUGUUCGGAAUCACUGGGAGUAAAGGGCGCGUAGGCGGUUUGAUAAGUCAGAUGUGAAAGCCCACGGCUUAACUGUGGAAGUGCAUUUGAAACUGUCAGACUUGAGUAUCAGAGGGGAAAGUGGAAUUCCCGGUGUAGAGGUGAAAUUCGUAGAUAUCGGGAGGAAUACCGGUGGCGAAGGCGACUUUCUGGCUGAAUACUGACGCUGAGGCGCGAAAGCGUGGGGAGCAAACAGG